GCUUACGGCCACAACCGGCCUGAGUACUGCCUGAUCUCGUCCGAUCUCGGAAGCUAAGCAGGGUCGGGCCUGGUUAGUACUUGGAUGGGAGACCGCCUGGGUAAUACCAGGUGCUGUAAGCU
rnacentral:rRNA from 1 species